rnacentral:rRNA from 1 species
UGGGGAAUAUUGGACAAUGGGGGCAACCCUGAUCCAGCCAUGCCGCGUGAGUGAUGAAGGCCUUCGGGUUGUAAAGCUCUUUUGGCGGGGACGAUGAUGACGGUACCCGCAGAAUAAGCCCCGGCUAACUUCGUGCCAGCAGCCGCGGUAAGACGAAGGGGGCUAGCGUUGUUCGGAAUUACUGGGAGUAAAGCGAGUGUAGGCGGUUGCCGUAGUCAGGUGUGAAAGCCUUGAGCUCAACUCAAGAAAUGCACUUGAUACUGGGUGACUAGAGGACCGGAGAGGAUAGUGGAAUUCCCAGUGUAGUGGUGAAAUACGUAGAGAUUGGGAAGAACACCAGUGGCGAAGGCGGCUAUCUGGACGGUUACUGACGCUAAGACUCGAAAGCGUGGGGAGCAAACAGGAUUAGAUACCCUGGUAGUCCACGCCGUAAACGAUGGGUGCUAGACGUUGGCGAGCUUGCUCGUCAGUGUCGCAGCUAACGCGUUAAGCA